CCCAACAACUACAUUGGUCUCUUCCCAAACGUAUCCAAAACAAUGAAUACAAGAAAACAGCCCAUUACAAUUGUAAAAGACAGGAGAUGCUUUUCACCGUUGAUCUCUGGUUUCUUGAACACUUUGGUUCAAUAAUACACCGCACGCAAUAUUCCCUGAAGCUUGCACGGUAAAGUUUGACCCCAAUGGCAGCAACAAGAGUUUCCAACACAGAUCUACAACGUGUGGCAAGCAAUCCCUUCCAUACACCUUUUCGAUUACUCUCAUUUCUAGAGGAAUCGGCAGUUUCUGAUAUCUCAGAGAAGACACUGAUGGAGGUGGCGGUGGUUAUUUUCCCUAGCUGAUACGUCGGCUUUCCUGAGGCACAUAGAUCUUUGUUUGGGAUUUUCACGAGUUGAUGGAGGAGAACAGCCUUACUGAGACAUGCUGGUUCAACAUCUUGGCCAAUGAUCUCCUUCGCUGGCAAUUGGAUGGGGCCUUUUCGGGCGACUACUAUGAUUCCACCUCUCCGGACGGCGGAGCUUCAUCGGCGGUAUCCAUGGACAUUGUCUCUGACCAAAAUAGCAUGAAGCAGAUCAAUGAAAGGCUCUUUGCACUUAGGACAGCCGUUCCCAACGUAACCAAGAUGGAUAAGGCAUCAAUCAUAAAGGAUGGAACUCGUUAGAUAUAACACUUGCAUGAAAAAGAGAGAAGGAUCCAAGACGAGAUAAUGGAGGUUAAAUUUAAGAAGCUCAAUUCCAAUUAUUGCAGCAUUGGCAGCAGCAGGAGACUAUGAUUUUGAACAGAAUCUUCCCAUUGUUAUCAGAUCUAAGAAGAAGAGACCCGAUAACCUUUUCUUUGAUACCUCGACUUCUUCUUCCUCAAUAAAUAACACCAACUAUUUUCCUAUUGAACUGAUUGAUCUUUAUGCACAAUUGGGUUCUUCUUGGCAAGAAUGCAAGAACGAAAACUGAGGAUUCAUCUUCCACCAAAGCUUUAAUGUCAACUGUCAGACUUGUGAAAAGGUGAUAUUUUUGUUGUCCAAUGUGUCUGUUGAAAUCUCUAAAUAUUGAGUAGUUUGAAUCGUUCUAAAAUAAUAUGUUGCAUUGAGGAGGGAGUGCGUAUGGUAUUUUGAUAGCAACAAUCUUAAGGAAUUGUCUGUAGCUUUCUGAAUAUCAUAUUGAAUAUACAAGGCUUGAUUUAAUCUCCAAUCAUGGAACUUCUCUUCUUCCUUUCCUGAUUGCGACUUUUAGGUAAAUUUCAUGUCUCUUUCCUAUUUGAUUGUCAGUGUUUUAACCACAUGCUUUGGAAAUCCCUUCAUAUUAUCUAUCAUUUUGAAAUUAGAAAUUGAUUUGAAUUUUAUUUUAUUUAACGUGAUUUAUACGUUCACUUCUGCGUUUACUUAUACUAUUUUUCUUUUUUCCAAUUAAUGUUGGGCUUUUAUGCUAUUUAAAAUGGUCUUUCAAUUGUGUGUUCAUUAACUUUAUGCUAAAAGAUUUUUUUUUUUUUACUAUCUAUUUGCUUUCUCCCCUUUUUUUUCCCGGUUCUCACUGUGCAUAGUUUCUUUCUAUGAAAUGUUAAGCUAAAUGCUGAAACUCUCUCUUUUAUGGGAGCUGUGUGUAUACUGUAUUGGAUACAUAUAGUUCUUUUCAAGUUCUUUACUGGCAUUAUUUAUGGUUUGCACGCUUCAUCCAUCAGAUGUAACUUUUCUUACGUUCAUGAUAAUUAUUUACAAACUUUUAAACCGUCAGUACUGGGACUUUGGUGGAUCAAUGUCAGACCAGAACCGAGAAGUCACCAUUAAUUGACUGCAACUCCUUUUAUGAGACUCCAUUCUCUUCCUCAACCAUCACUGUGGCUCGGUCUUUCUCCAUCAAACAGCUGAAUGGCGAUUCAUGCAGCUGCUGGUGAUUCCAACAGAUGCCCUCCAUCUCCUUGCUAUAGGAAGACAAUGACAAGUUCAGAUCUGAGGACAAUUAGAUUGCACUUGUCGAUUGCUUUUGCUAAAUAUCUGAAACCAUCGAGACAUGGUUCUGUCUGGAAGAUAAUCGGUCCACCUU